rnacentral:lncRNA from 1 species
GAAUUUAUUGUGUAAUUCUAGAAUGGAUGACUUACACAAGAAAACAAAAAAAUAUGGUAUGCAAAUAUAAAAAAUAAAACCAAAAAAAACCAAAGACAACAAUCUAAACAAAGUUCAAAAUGAUUCAGUAGUUAAUAGUUGCAUCCCGUAUAAAAUAAGAAAAUGUAAAGAAAUGUAACUAAUAGCUAUCAUUGGAGUCUGACUCUGAUUAUGCUAUCGCCUCUU